UACGUAGGGAGCAAGCGUUGUUCGGAUUUACUGGGCGUAAAGGGCGCGUAGGCGGCAAUUCAAGUCAGCUGUGAAAUCUCCGGGCUUAACUCGGAACGGUCAGCUGAUACUGUUUUGCUAGAGUGCGGAAGGGGCAAUCGGAAUUCUCGGUGUAGCGGUGAAAUGCGUAGAUAUCAGGAGGAACACCAAUUGCGAAGGCAGCUCGCUGGGACGCUACUGACGCUGAGACGCGAAAGCGUGGGGAGCAAACAGG
rnacentral:rRNA from 1 species